rnacentral:rRNA from 1 species
CCUACGGGAGGCAGCAGUGGGGAAUAUUGCGCAAUGGGGGAAACCCUGACGCAGCACCGCCGCGUGAGGGAUGAAGGUUUUCGGUUGGUACACUCCUUUUGUCAGGGCAGAUUAAAAGACGGUACCUCAUGAAUAAGCCACGUCUAACUACGUGCCAGCAGCCGCGGUAAUACGGAGGUUGCAAGCGUUUUCCGGAUUUACUGGGUGUAAAGGUCGUGUGGGCGGGUUUACAAGUCAGAGGUGAAACCCUGCGGCUAAACCGAUGAACUGCAUUUGAAAGUGUGGAUGUUGUGUGUUGGAGAGGAAGGCGGAAUUCCGAGUGUAGCGGUGAAAUGCGUAGAUAUUAGGAGGAACACCAGUGGCGAAGGCGGCCUGCUGGACAAUAACUGACGGUGAGGAGCGAAAGCGUGGGGAGCAAACAGGAUUAGAUACCCCUGUAGUC